rnacentral:misc_RNA from 1 species
UUUCCGUAGGCGAACCUGCGGAAGGAUCAUUAUUGUAUAACCGAGGUGCGAGGGCUGUCGCUGACCCGAAAGGUCGUGCACGCCCGAGUGCCCUCACACACAUCCAUCUCACCCCUAUGUGCACCACCGCGUGGGUCCCCCUUUGGCUUGUUCGGAGGGGGGCUUACGUUUUCACACAAACUUUGUAUGCAGUGUAGAAUGUAUUUUUUGUUUUUGCGAUCACGCAAUCAAUACGACUUUCAACAACGGAUCUCUUGGCUCUC